rnacentral:rRNA from 1 species
AGAGAGAGACAUGCGCGCAUAUCAAUAAGCGGAGGAAAAGAAACUAACUAGGAUUCCCUCAGUAACGGCGAGUGAAGCGGGAAGAGCUCAAAUUUGAAAUCUUCAAGGUUCUACCUUGACGAAUUGUAGUUUAAAGAAGUGUUUUCUGUUGGAGUUUUGGUAAAAGUUCUUUGGAAUAGGACAUCAUAGAGGGUGAGAAUCCCGUAUUUGACCAUUAUUUCCAGCUUUGUGAUACACUUUCAAAGAGUCGGAUUGUUUGGGAAUGCAGUCCAAAAUGGGUGGUAAAUUUCAUCUAAAGCUAAAUAUUGGCGAGAGACCGAUAGCGAACAAGUACCGUGAGGGAAAGAUGAAAAGAACUUUGAAAAGAGAGUUAAACAGUACGUGAAAUUGUCAAAAGGGAAGCGUUUGACACCAGUGUUGUUUUCUCGAAAAUCAAUUAAAAAAGGCAGGAUUUUGUGUUGUAUUGACUUUAUCAGCUUUCUGCACUCUUUUCUUGUCUUUUUUAAUGCACUUUUCGUUUAACAAGUCAACAUCAAUUCUUUUGUUGUAAAAGGGUCAUUGGAAGGUGGCUUUCUUUUCGGAGAAAGUGUUUAUAGCCUUGGCCUCUGCAAUCGGAGAGAUUGAGGUCUGCAGCGUAGAUCCUUCGGGGUUAGAUACAUUUGUGCUAAGUUAUAGCCUUUCAUAGACAACUUGUUGACUAUGAUCAGUCAUGUAGCUUACUCGCUUAUGCUAUUUUACCUACGCUUAGGAUGUUGAUGUGAUACUGCGAGCA